UUAAUAACUUCUGCGACCUCAAGGUUUUAUGUCCAUCUAUUUAUACUCCAACGUCUCCGUUAACGAUAUCUCCUACUUUCUUGAAAAUUAAUGGACUUUUCCUCUUCUAUUUCUCUACUCUCACAUGGCGAGACACACAACCAUCAAGAUUCAAGAAAGAGAGCUUUUUGUCCCUCACGUUCGAUUAAAGAUGAUGGACGAUGCUUUAAUCACUCUUCGUCAGUCUUUCAACGUUCCUGGCAAGAUACGAUUGUAGGCUCUGACAGCUAUCAAAUCCUUGGAGCGGGCAAAGCCUAGGUUUCUGUGCAAACACUCGAUUUUCUUCAAAAAUUGCGGGCUGGUUUCCCAUUAUGUCACUUUUGCCCGAAGUCGUAUGCUGACUGAGGAUAGAUUUUUUCCAAAUAACCCCAAUUUUGGUAUGCCACAUCAUGGGCCUGCUGGUGCUUUCCCGAGAAGUGGGGAGGUGGGGGGGAGGUUCUGUUGAUUGUUUUUAACUUGAUCAAUAUUUGUUCUACCAAGAGGAAUAUUGGGUUCGAGGGUAGUUUCUGUUUCGAUCCUCACACGAACUGUAAAAUCCUCACAGAGAUUCCGCGUAGAGAUGAAUGGAGAAAAUAAUAUUUUUUUUCUUUGAAGUGAAUGAAGUUUCGAUAAGAAAUUUCAACCCUAGCCAUCGUUCUCUAUGUGGACGUUGAUUGCAGAUAUUUUAAGAUUAGAGCCUUAUCUGAUUGCCUCCGUGCUUUGGUUUGUAAUUUGCGCGGGGGAGUUGUCAAUUGGCCUUCUUUUAGCAGGGCGAGAGUGUUCGAUGUGCUAGACAUUUUUGAGUCUGUAAGUUUUCUUCUUUACUAGGAGACAAGAGGAAUCAUCUGACGUGGAAGCCGGAACCUGGAAGCUGGAACCCAUAACAAAGAGAUCGGCGUCCUGCUCUAACACGAAGGUUCUUGCUCUUGAAUUAAUUUUCCCUAACAGUCUGUAUACAUUUAAGUCAGGAAAUGGGUUGCCAUACAUAUACUCAAGGCUAAAGAAGAUGUUAUCUACACAAAACCGAGUAUCAGAAAACUCAAAGCCUUUGCUUGGCACUUGGAAGACUUUCGAUUUGGACACAUAUCAAAAGGUCAGAGAGAGAGAGAGAGAGACGUUGCUUGGAGAUGGCAAGAGGAAGAAGAGGAGACAACAGAAGAAGAAGCGGAGUGGUGUCGGAGAUGACGAAAGAAGAAGCGGACUUGUUCGUCCCCGCUCUACCCUCACUUGUCUCUCUCAAUUUCUCAAAACCAGAGCCUCUUCUUCUCUUACACCAAAUCGUGCUUUCUAACCCCUCAGGUUUGUCUCCGAUCUCGAAUCUUCCUCACAAACUUUAGCUAUAACCCUAGUUUUUGAACGUCUGAUUGCUGACAUCACCAUUGGUGGAGGCUGUUAGAAAUGCUUCCUGGUAUAUGAUAAGAAUUAUGUGUUUGCUUUGUUGAAUAAGAAGAAGAAGAAGAUCCUUAAGGUAUGAACUUGAUUACACUUUAUUCACUGUCUUUUAUGGUUAACAACUAGAGUUGAACAUAAAGGUCUGAAAUUUGGAUGGAGUCUGUUUUGGCGCAAAACAUUCUCGGGGCUGAAGGUCCAUGGUUUGGAAACUUUAUCUACGCAAGUAUACAUAAUUCACUGGUACUGAUAGAUUAGACACAAGUCUCUUAACAGGUUGUUCUUGAUUAAUUUUACAUGGACUCUGCAGAAUGCUACUAUGGUCUUCUUCUGUGAGAUGAUAUAGACAAACUUCCACUAGUUGUUGUAUUGUUGCGUCGAAUAUUGUGUUAAAAACAUCUAUUUUUUUUCUCUGGUAAUCGUCUUUGUCAAACAUCUUCUUCCUUCUUGGUGUUUGAUUCUAAUCAUUGCUCCUGUUUGUCCUGUUUCAGACAGAGAAAAAACAGUUCCACUGUGAUGACUGGAAUUUGCAGGAAGAGGGAGUACCCAUGUCUCAUCCUGACUAAUCUCUUCCAACGCACUGCUCUAUUAAUCAGGUUCUUCAAGUUAUAAGAGGCUAUACUUUGUCGUUAUCGCUUGGAAGAAUUGUCUUGAGUAAAAUGGAGUCAAAAUCAAGCUUUAGCAAGGAGUGAAUGUCUUCCUUACAGUAAGGUCCCGAUUCUUAUGAAAAGAAGAGGUAGUUUGUUGGCAUCAACAACCGAAGUCUUGGUAAUUAAGCUUUUUGUAGAUGUCACUAGUUUAGAUAUCUCUUGUCUAAGAAACUGAAAGUUUCCGUGGGUCAGAAAAGGGGAAAAGUGCAUAUUUCAACCUGAAUUUUAUCCAUCGUGCUUAUUCCUACCUGAACUUUGUAAUAGUGUAUAUUUCAUACCAAACUACAUAAAAACUCAAAAAAUAUUACAUGAACUUUAA